rnacentral:rRNA from 1 species
GCCUUUCCGUAGUGUGCCCUGCGGAGGGAUCAUUACCGAGUUUACAACUCCCAAACCCCUGUGAACAUACCUAUACGUUGCCUCGGCGGAUCAGCCCGCGCCCCGUAAAACGGGACGGCCCGCCCGAGGACCCUAAACUCUGUUUUUAGUGGAACUUCUGAGUAAAACAAACAAAUAAAUCAAAACUUUCAACAACGGAUCUCUUGGUUCUGGCAUCGAUGAAGAACGCAGCAAAAUGCGAUAAGUAAUGUGAAUUGCAGAAUUCAGUGAAUCAUCGAAUCUUUGAACGCACAUUGCGCCCGCCAGUAUUCUGGCGGGCAUGCCUGUUCGAGCGUCAUUUCAACCCUCAAGCUCUGCUUGGUGUUGGGACUCGCGGUAACCCGCGUUCCCCAAAUCGAUUGGCGGUCACGUCGAGCUUCCAUAGCGUAGUAAUCAUACACCUCGUUACUGGUAAUCGUCGCGGCCACGCCGUAAAACCCCAACUUCUGAAUGUUGACCUCGGAUCAGGUAGAGAACUCGUAGCCA